AUUUAUAUAAUAUAUUUAGUAUAUUUGACUUCCAAUCAAAAAGUUUAAUUUCAUUUAAUAUAAAUA
rnacentral:tRNA from 1 species